rnacentral:other from 1 species
UUCCCUGCGUAGUGCGUUUAGACUGGAAUUUUAGAACCAACAAAUUUUAAAAGGGAGCCUAAUCUCGGAAUAUGGCGUGUAUGCUUACCAUAGAGUAAGAAACCCAGGAGUAUUCUGGACGGCACCCACCUGUGAGAGCAGGUCCUUAAAAUUUCAUUCAUCUUACGGCUAAGGCGGGGCUU